AUUGAACGCUGGCGGCAGGCCUAACACAUGCAAGUCGAACGAGUGGCGGACGGGUGAGUAAUGUCUGGGAAACUGCCUGAUGGAGGGGGAUAACUACUGGAAACGGUAGCUAAUACCGCAUACCAUCAGAUGUGCCCAGAUGGGAUUAGCUUGUUGGUGGGGUAACGGCUCACCAAGGCGACGAUCCCUAGCUGGGCUGAGAGGAGGACCGGCAAAACUGGAACUGAGACACGGUCCAGAGUCCUACGGGAGGCAGCAGUGGGGAAUAUUGCACAAGGGGCGCAAGCCUGAUGCAGCAAUGCGGGGUGUAUGAGGAGGGCUUUCGGGUUGUAAAGUACUUUCAGCGGGGAGGCGUUACCCGAAGAAGAAGCAACGGCUAACUCCGUGCCAGCAGCCGCGGUAAUAC
rnacentral:rRNA from 1 species